rnacentral:misc_RNA from 1 species
GUCGCAAACCGCAGUUCUUCAAGAGGAGACCAGCGAACACCCGAUAGUAGCAGCGGUGCCGGCUAUGCAGUCGCUUGGUCGCACACAGGUCGCCAAACAGAUGGGCUCGUUCAACAAGUCAUUCUUCGUGAAAGCAUGCGUCUUCGAUUCGCCUCCGUACAUUCUCUUGUCCUGUUUUUCGAAAACGUCACUUUGCUUCACUCGAAAGCGGUGAAGGAGCACGCAGCUGAGACUGGCGUUGAGCUGCUGGCGGUGGAAGCGGGUGCUCUCCGCUUCUUUCCCGUAGGAAGCGCCUUGCGUUGCUGUCAAUAGCCCCGUUUGAGCGAACGGAUCCAUAGACGGGACGUUCGGCUCUACGGCACUAUUCAGCGACAUGUCGUUUCGAGGUUCACCAGCCCUGUACUGCUGUGCUGUUUCAGUGUUCGUGUGCGAAGCGGGGUCGGCAAGGCGAGCUUCAGUCCGUGGACAUGCUCGCGACGGAGAAGGUGACGAAGAGGUACUUGAGUAACCGUCUAGACAUAGGUAGAAAAGGAGAGUUGUUGUCGUAGCCUUCAUCCACGACGUGCGAAAUCCCACGAAGGUCACGGACAUGAAGUAUAGCGACCACUGCCAUGCCACCUUGCCGAGACAAGUCGGUGCCGAAGAAGCACCUGGUCUCUGCGAUCAACUACGAAGCAUUCGAGCAGCUCGGCAGAAGAGCGUCGGCGGAGUUUGUGUAAGAUUUAUCGAGUACAUGGAGGAAAUGGAAAGAUGCUUACAUCGAAAAUCGAAAGCGACCUCAUAUCCCUGUGCAUGCCCUUUUUGAAACCUAUGCCUACCUCGAAACUCGAGAAUCACGUUCCACCCUUCGAGGUAGUACUGGAGAAAGACUUUGGAUGCCUACUUGUGUGGGCGUGUCGUGCCCGUCGCCAUAGGUAUUGAUCAAAAGGACAGAGCCUUGCAUCCUGGGUGAAAGCAGAUGAAGCGGCUCGAGUUUCCCAGAGCGCACCGUCAUCGAGAGUCGAGCGUCAUAAACGCCAUGCGGCAUACCAGGAGAUGCAGCAGAGGCGCCAUAGCCCCUAGCCACCCAUCCUGCAGCUCGACGCUCUGCGUACAGUCUCGCGCCGACACCAGUGCUUCGGAUGCUUCACCUAGAGCAUCCCGAGACGUCCAAAAUGGCGCGUACGGACGAUCUCCGGCAAGAGUCAAUGAGACAGCGCUGGGUCGCCACCGGUUCCAGUGCUACCCAGGCGACAAGCGUGCAUUCACCAACGCUUUUCAUGCGACGGGGAAGGAAACCUUCGAUCGUUCGUAUCGUGUCGUUUCGUGAUACCACAGAGCAAUCGAUGCGCUAUAGCAUGCCAAGGCUGCACUCCUGCUCCAUCCACGAGAGCGUACAACUGUGGAUGCACAUGGAUGCGGCACGAUUCCCAGCGAUGCGUCUGGGUCGACGUACGCGCUCCACGAGUCAGGGUGCCCGGUGAAGCGGACAGCGAAGCAGACGCGCGAAAAGCAGAGACCGAAGCACAUCAUGGUACAGCGGAUGCUGACUGAACCUCAGAUAACGGGGCAAUCGACAAUGACAGGCACGCUUUGGAAUGAUGCCACUGGCAGCCACAGGUGCGAGCACGUUCUGCACCGAAAUAUCGGAGUCUCUAUGAAUAUCGGGAGAUGUUUCGUGCUUGCGGAGCGACCAGCAGUUUUGUACAGAGCGAAACUC